UUCUUAUACCAUAAUUAUAAGUAAAAUCUGCUCCAUGUCUAAUAAAUAGCCGCAGAAUAUUAACUGUGCUAAGGUAGCAUAAUCAUUUACCUUUUAAUUAAAGGUCUGUAUGAAAGAUUGUACAUUUAAACUACUUUUUUAUUAAAUUUUCUCAAAAUUAAACUAGACAUAAAAAUGUAUCUAUAAACUAAAAAGACGACAAGACCCUAUUGAACUUUACUAAAGUUAAGCUGGGGAAGCUAAUUAAAUACAAUUUUAAUUUCUAUCUAAAUAAAAAUUUCUGAUAUAACCAAUAUGAUCAAGUUACCAUAGGGAUAACAGCGUAAUAUUUCUUUAAAGCUCUUAUUAAAAGGAAAGUUUACGACCUCGAUGUUGAAUUAGAAUUACUUUGAAACGCAAUAGUUUCUAAAAGCAGGUCUGUUCGACCUUUAAACUUCUACA
rnacentral:rRNA from 1 species